rnacentral:rRNA from 1 species
AAGCAUGCAAGUCGAGCGGUAAGUCGGGAGCUUGCUCCUGACCUAGAGCGGCGGACUGGUGAGUAACGCGUGGGUGACGUACCUCUGUGACGGGGAUAGCUCCUAGAAAUAGGAGAUAAUACCGGAUACGCUGCAUGUUGUCAGAGGACAUGCAGGAAAGGAUCUUUUGAUUCGCACAGAGAGCGGCCCGCGUACUAUUAGCUAGUUGGUGAGGUAACGGCCCACCAAGGCGACGAUAGUUACCCGGCCUAAGAGGGUGAUCGGGCACAUUGGGACUGAGAUACGGCCCAGACUCCUACGGGAGGCAGCAGCUAAGAAUAUUCCGCAAUGGACGAAAGUCUGACGGAGCGACGCCGCGUGGAUGAUGAAGGCCGGAAGGUUGUAAAAUCCUUUUAUGACUGAGGAAUAAGGAAAGUGAGAGAAACGCUUUCUGGUGACUGUAGGUCAUGAAUAAGCAACGGCUAAUUACGUGCCAGCAGCGGC